rnacentral:rRNA from 1 species
GAUGAACGCUGGCGGCGUGCCUAAUACAUGCAAGUCGAGCGAACGGACGAGAAGCUUGCUUCUCUGAUGUUAGCGGCGGACGGGUGAGUAACACGUGGAUAACCUACCUAUAAGACUGGGAUAACUUCGGGAAACCGGAGCUAAUACCGGAUAAUAUUUUGAACCGCAUGGUUCAAAAGUGAAAGACGGUCUUGCUGUCACUUAUAGAUGGAUCCGCGCUGCAUUAGCUAGUUGGUAAGGUAACGGCUUACCAAGGCAACGAUGCAUAGCCGACCUGAGAGGGUGAUCGGCCACACUGGAACUGAGACACGGUCCAGACUCCUACGGGAGGCAGCAGUAGGGAAUCUUCCGCAAUGGGCGAAAGCCUGACGGAGCAACGCCGCGUGAGUGAUGAAGGUCUUCGGAUCGUAAAACUCUGUUAUUAGGGAAGAACAUAUGUGUAAGUAACUGUGCACAUCUUGACGGUACCUAAUCAGAAAGCCACGGCUAACUACGUGCCAGCAGCCGCGGUAAUACGUAGGUGGCAAGCGUUAUCCGGAAUUAUUGGGCGUAAAGCGCGCGUAGGCGGUUUUUUAAGUCUGAUGUGAAAGCCCACGGCUCAACCGUGGAGGGUCAUUGGAAACUGGAAAACUUGAGUGCAGAAGAGGAAAGUGGAAUUCCAUGUGUAGCGGUGAAAUGCGCAGAGAUAUGGAGGAACACCAGUGGCGAAGGCGACUUUCUGGUCUGUAACUGACGCUGAUGUGCGAAAGCGUGGGGAUCAAACAGGAUUAGAUACCCUGGUAGUCCACGCCGUAAACGAUGAGUGCUAAGUGUUAGGGGGUUUCCGCCCCUUAGUGCUGCAGCUAACGCAUUAAGCACUCCGCCUGGGGAGUACGACCGCAAGGUUGAAACUCAAAGGAAUUGACGGGGACCCGCACAAGCGGUGGAGCAUGUGGUUUAAUUCGAAGCAACGCGAAGAACCUUACCAAAUCUUGACAUCCUUUGACAACUCUAGAGAUAGAGCCUUCCCCUUCGGGGGACAAAGUGACAGGUGGUGCAUGGUUGUCGUCAGCUCGUGUCGUGAGAUGUUGGGUUAAGUCCCGCAACGAGCGCAACCCUUAAGCUUAGUUGCCAUCAUUAAGUUGGGCACUCUAAGUUGACUGCCGGUGACAAACCGGAGGAAGGUGGGGAUGACGUCAAAUCAUCAUGCCCCUUAUGAUUUGGGCUACACACGUGCUACAAUGGACAAUACAAAGGGCAGCGAAACCGCGAGGUCAAGCAAAUCCCAUAAAGUUGUUCUCAGUUCGGAUUGUAGUCUGCAACUCGACUACAUGAAGCUGAAAUCGCUAGUAAUCGUAGAUCAGCAUGCUACGGUGAAUACGUUCCCGGGUCU